rnacentral:piRNA from 1 species
UGGAUAAAGAAUCUUUAAACA